ACAGUUUGCACAUCCUCCCUGGAAGCAGUUCAGUUCUGAGGCCACUUCUCAUCCAUCGGUAUGGCUGGCACCUGCCUCUAUCCCAACCCCACAAUAUCUCCUACAGCAUCAGUCUCUUUUCAACUUUACAACCCCUGACUUGGAAGGCAUACCCAGGAAGCAAGAUGCUCUACUGACAAGACACAUGGCACUACACUGAUAGACUCCAUGACCUGGGAACCGGAAAAACCACGUGGAGACCCUUGCCA